rnacentral:rRNA from 1 species
AUUGAACGCUGGCGGAAUGCUUUACACAUGCAAGUCGAACGGCAGCACGGACUUCGGUCUGGUGGCGAGUGGCGAACGGGUGAGUAAUGUAUCGGAACGUGCCCAGUCGUGGGGGAUAACGUAGUGAAAAUUACGCUAAUACCGCAUACGAUCUAUGGAUGAAAGCGGGGGAUCGCAAGACCUCGCGCGAUUGGAGCGGCCGAGAUCAGAUUAGGUAGUUGGUGGGGUAAAGGCCCACCAAGCCAACGAUCUGUAGCUGGUCUGAGAGGCCGACCAGCCACACUGGAACUGAGACACGGUCCAGACUCCUACGGGAGGCAGCAGUGGGGAAUUUUGGACAAUGGGCGAAAGCCUGAUCCAGCCAUUCCGCGUGCAGGAUGAAGGCCCUCGGGUUGUAAACUGCUUUUGUACAGAACGAAAAGGUUUCUACUAAUACUAGGGGCUCAUGACGGUACUGUAAGAAUAAGCACCGGCUAACUACGUGCCAGCAGCCGCAGUAA